AGGAGGGGAAAGCCAUAUAUAAGAUAUGGCAGAAUGACAGUACUACUGUCAAGUGCAUCAUGUUGGCCUCCAUGAGCAAUGAGUUGUAGAGACAAAAUGAGAAAAUGGAUCCUCAAUCCAUACUCAAUCUUUAGGAGUUUAUACGGAGAGCAGAGAUGGACUGCUAGAUAUGAAAUAUCCAUGCAACUUUUUCAGGCCA
rnacentral:lncRNA from 1 species